AUCGCUUUUCAGUCUUUUGGCUAAGAUCAAGUUUAGUAUUUGUUCUUAUCAGUUUAGAUUAGUACCCUGUUCUCUUUGAAGUAUAAAAAUAAGGUGAAUUUAAAAAGUCAU
ensembl:snRNA U2 U2 spliceosomal RNA